GGGCCAUAGAUCAGUGGUAGAGCAUCAGUUUUGCAUGCAGAAGAUUCCCAGGUUCAAUCCCCAGGUCAAGCUGGCAACG